rnacentral:tRNA from 1 species
GGGCGAUUAGCUCAGUGGUAGAGCACUGCCUUCACACGGCAGGGGUCGCAGGUUCAAGCCCUGCAUCGCCCACCA